rnacentral:rRNA from 1 species
UACGUAGGUGGCAAGCGUUGUCCGGAACUAUUGGGCGUAAAGCGCGCGCAGGCGGCCUUUUAAGUCUGAUGUGAAAGCCCACGGCUCAACCGUGGAAGGUCAUUGGAAACUGGAAGGCUUGAGUACAGAAGAGGAAAGCGGAAUUCCACGUGUAGCGGUGAAAUGCGUAGAGAUGUGGAGGAACACCAGUGGCGAAGGCGGCUUUCUGGUCUGUAACUGACGCUGAGGCGCGAAAGCGUGGGGAGCAAACAGG